rnacentral:pre_miRNA from 1 species
CAAAUAUUCCCUCCGUCCGGAAAUACUUGUCGGAGAAAUGGAUGUAUCUAAAACUAAAAUACGUCUAGAUACAUCUAUUUCUCCGACAAGUAUUUCCAGACGGAGGGAGUAUUUG